CUUCUCAGAGACAGGGGAGCUGAGAGACAUCCGUUUUGAGAAAUUCAGACAUAUAUUAAAUCAGUCCAGACUGGGAUCAGUGAACACAUGGUCAUUUUACUCUGACUGGCAGUCAACAUGUUGCAGAUCCUCGGCCCAGGAAGUUCUCAGGUUGUAUCUGCUCGGCUGUCCUGCUUUGUGUGUUUAAUGUCACAUCAAUCACGUCUACAAUCCCACAUAUUCAGUGGCUCUUUGCUAAUGAGACAGUGUUCGAGAGGGUUGGGUCGCGCUUUUAUGAGGGUGUGGGAUAUGAAGGACGUGUGGACGUUCCUGAGGGUGAGCUGAGGAAAGGAAACUGUUCUCUGGUGUUGAUGAAUGUCAGUAUUGAUGAUGCAGGAACCUAAAGCAGCUACCUGUUAGUGAGCCGUAAGGCAGUCCGCUCUCCUGACUGGGCUUUGAUCCGACAUUGUGAACUCUCAAUUAAAGAUGAUGCAGGAAGAAACUCUCCUGUCCUGCUGACGAUGUUCCUGUCCCUCCUCUGGUUGUUACAUGUAACGUGUAACACACAUUACAACCAGGAAGUGUCGUGUAUCAUGAAGUAUUAGGAUGUGAAACUAAGCUUACAGUCACACAACAUUUAAAAUCAUUUAUAUUAGUAACAACAGCCACAUUUUAAACACGACUGCUCAUGCUUUACAUUUCACCUUGUGUUAAUAUCAGUCUGUUUAAGUUUUUCAAACUUGAUAUAAACUCUAGGCUGAUACAUUUACAUCAUUUAGCUGAAGCCCUUAUCCAGAGCGGCUUACAUUUUAUCUUGCUUUUAUACAUCUGAGCAAUUGAGGGUUAAGGCCUUGCUCAGGGGCCCAGCAGUGGCAGCUUGGUGGACGAAGGAAUCAAACUCACAAACUUCCGAUUGGUAGCCCAACACCUUAACCUCUAGGCUACCACAUCCCUGUGUUUAUUCCAGCAGUUCACUAAUGAUCUGAUCCAACAAGCCCCAGCUGGAUAAGAAACUGUACAGUGUGUAUUAAAUGUAAUGAAAUGAGUCAGUUCCUGUUCUCACUUAAGUGGCUGUAAAAGGUAUUUAGUUUUAGUUUCAUUGUGUGUAAGAGUUCGGAAGAAGUAAUGGUUGAGUCAGGAAGUGUUGGAAAAUGUGGGGGAAAAUAUGUUUGUAGAAUGAGUUUAUAGGAGCUCAAGCCAAAAAGGACACACUUACUACUGAAAACAUAAUUAAUAAACAAAAAUAAAUAAAGUUAUUAUAUCUGAAUACAUAACAUAUGUAAAAUGAUGGCAUGACGUUAAGGAAAUUAUUCAUAAGAGAAAUGAUUGAAAACUCGUAAUAAAUUGAAUGAAAACUGACGUCAUUAAUGAUGACACAUUGGUGAUUGUGUGUGAGCGAGUGUAAGACUUUUUAUUUAUUAAGUCACCAUUCAUUUUUAUGAUGUGACUUGCAUAAAUAAAGUGUUGUAAAGGUAAAAGUCAAAAAAGUCUCUCUCUCUCUCCCUCUCAUAUCAGUAGAGGUGGAGAGAAACAAGCUUACACACUUCAGUACAUUGUGUAGCAACCCGAAUGCCCAGGGAACUCAGGUGCAUACAAAGAAAAUCCACCACAGUAAGCAUAAAAUAGAAAACACAUUAAACUUUAUUUAACAGAACAUAAAAAUAAUUUGGGUCGUUCACCCUGACCGGACACAGUCCCCCAGAGCAGCCUCCUUCAGAUGGUAUACUCAGCAGACAAAAGAUAAUAGAGCUUCCUACAGGGAAGAGUAGUUUCACUGCAACCUGUAUGAGCACAGCAAUCUCCGCCCCAUAAACCCACCACAAAUCAUUAAUAAUGCACCCUCAAUAUCAAUACAUCACACAAUUAAGCACACAAAACCUGUUGGGGCUCUAUCAAUCCCCAUCUCUGAUUCCCCACAAAUUGGUGGGAAGCUACCCAAGGGGUAUACCCAAAGGGUACAGGAAGACACAGAAAAUCAAAUGUACUUAAAAAGAGAAAGGAAAAAUAAAAAUAAAAACAAAAUCCCCUAGCCAACCAUUAAACCAAAUUACACAAACUUAAUAAUACGAAAAGAAACAAAACACCAGCUGGCUAGGGAAUUAACAUACAUUCACCACAGGGA